CAAUACUAUCGAUACGGGUUGUGGGAGCAAGAGCCCGGAGAUGGAUUCUGAGACACGAAUCCAGGCCCUACGGGGCGCAGCAGGCGCGAAAACUUUACAAUGCAGGAAACUGUGAUAAGGGAACCCCGAGUGCCCGUAUGGACGGGCUGUUCAGGUGCUUAAAAACCACCUGGAGAAAGGGCCGGGCAAGACCGGUGCCAGCCGCCGCGGUAAUACCGGCGGCUCGAGUGGUGGCCACUAUUACUGGGCUUAAAGCGUCCGUAGCUUGGUCGUUAAGCCUCUGGGGAAAUCUUCCGGCUCAACCGGAAGGCGUCUCAGGGGAACUGGCGACCUAGGGAUCGGGAGAGGUGAGAGGUACUCUGGGGGUAGGAGUGAAAUCCUGUAAUCCUCAGGGGACCACCUGUGGCGAAGGCGUCUCACCAGAACGACUCCGACAGUGAGGGACGAAAGCUGGGGGAGCAAACCGGAUUAGAUACCCGGGUAGUCCCAGCCGUAAACAAUGUGCG
rnacentral:rRNA from 1 species